rnacentral:rRNA from 1 species
GACGAACGCUGGCGGCGUGCCUAAUACAUGCAAGUUGAGCGCUGAAGGUUGGUACUUGUACCAACUGGAUGAGCAGCGAACGGGUGAGUAACGCGUGGGGAAUCUGCCUUUGAGCGGGGGGCAACAUUUGGAAACGAAUGCUAAUACCGCAUAAAAACUUUAAACACAAGUUUUAAGUUUGAAAGAUGCAAUUGCAUCACUCAAAGAUGAUCCCGCGUUGUAUUAGCUAGUUGGUGAGGUAAAGGCUCACCAAGGCGAUGAUACAUAGCCGACCUGAGAGGGUGAUCGGCCACAUUGGGACUGAGACACGGCCCAAACUCCUACGGGAGGCAGCAGUAGGGAAUCUUCGGCAAUAGACGAAAGUCUGACCGAGCAACGCCGCGUGAGUGAAGAAGGUUUUCGGAUCGUAAAACUCUGUUGGUAGAGAAGAACGUUGGUGAGAGUGGAAAGCUCACCAAGUGACGGUAACUACCCAGAAAGGGACGGCUAACUACGUG